GUAGUAGCACGUAUUUGUUUUUGUACCUUUUUUUUUUUUUUUUUUCUCCUCUUUAUCCUCCCUAUAUUUUUAUGUUUAAAAGUAAUUCAUAUACUUUAACAAAUGUAUAAUAAAUUGAUAAUUCAUUAUAAGCUUCUUCACUAUUACUUUCAACUUGUUGCUUACUUUCAACUUGUUGCUUACUUUCAACUUGUUGCUAACUUCUUUUUGCUUGCUUGCUUCUUCUUCUUCUUUUUUUUUUUUUUUUUUUUCUUUUUUUUUUUUUUUUUUUUUUUUUUUUUUUCUUCAUUUAACGUUAACAUGAGCAAAACAUGUAUGGAGAAAAUUUGAGCUUAACGUAUACAUAUAUAUAUAAUAUAUAUAUCACAUUUUUUUUUUAUGCAUAUAAUAUAUAACCAACCGGCAAUUAUUUUAUUUUUUUUAUUUUUCUAUUUUAAGAAAUCAACAAAUGUUGAUACUUAUAUUUUAAUUGUUCAUGCAUACACGUCUUCAUACGCAAAAAUAAUAAUAUAUAUAUACACUUGAAUUAAUUGAAAAAAAAAAUAUAUCUUGUCUAUAUUUAAAUGAAUUAAAAAAAAAAAAAAUUUUUUGUACAUAUUCAGUGUUAUUCACUCAAAACAUACACUACAAACGGAAUAAUCAAGUUUUUUAUCAUUUUAUUUUUUAAUUUUAUGUGUUUACUUUUUUUAAUGGUGAUAAACAAAAGUAGGUAGUUGAGGUGUAUAAAUUUUAUGGAAAAACAAAAUUUUACUAUUACGUUGAUAUAUAUAUAUAUAAAUAUAUAUAUAAAUAUGUAUAUACAUACACUUAUUUCAUAUGACCAUUAAUGUAUUAUUAAUCAAAUACAGGUGAAGUAUUUUCAACACCUAUUAUACACUUUCAAAAAGAGUUUUUUCAAAAAGAGUUUUUUCAAAAAGAGUUUUUNNNNNNNNNNUUCAAAAAGAGUUUUUUCAAAAAGAGUUUUUUCAAAAAGAGUUUUUUUCAAAAAGGCUUUUUUUAAAGGAGUUUUUUUAAAAGGGGGGUUUUAAAAAAGGGCUUAAAAAAAAAAAUAAAUAAAAAAAAAAAAAAAAGUUUACUAAUAAC
rnacentral:lncRNA from 1 species